GAAUUCGAAUGAAACCGAGUUACACUAGCUGAGGCUUUUCAAUCCUCAGAGGACCCUGUGGGACAAUACGGCUUCAGUGAAGGCGAUGGCAGCACUCAGGACCAUUGACGGCCCACACCUAUUUUCCUCAGGAUGACAUCUUUAUCGGCAGGCAUUGUCAUCCACUGGAAAAACACAAAGAGACCACCCACGUAUCGGCAGUACAAAAAUCUGUUUCCAUGACAACGCCAGUCUCCAAACUUCCAAGUCAUUUCUGUCACAGAGGCUGACAUAAGGGAAACAAGGAGCAGAACAUGUUUGGACUGUGGAGGAGCGAGAGGGAUCUGACGACACUGACGACACGCCUCUCUACACCGACAACCCGACUGAGCGAAGUUGCUGCUAAUUCAUCUUCUCCUCUUCCAUGUCAGCCAACAUCACGUUAUCCUUCAGGCAGCUGGAUUCAAGAUGGUGCAAGGAUCAUGAGAUCAUGCCACAAUGCUUCUGCACUGGAAACGGCAUGACUAAUCUCUACCAGUCGACACAAUUUACUGUGGCACAAUAUAAACCGUCAUAUCACCCAACCCUAGUGUACAACCUGACUCUAAAGAGGUUGAACAUUUGUCUAAAAUUUAUACUUUGAAUUGAUGAAUUCUGUUUUUAUUCACAUUUAUACUGCAUCACAACUUUUUCAAAAUCAGGGUCGUAUUAUGUGAAAGUUGACACACACACACAAGGAAGUCCUGCUUUACCACAGCAUCCAACUG